rnacentral:misc_RNA from 1 species
AAGUCGUAACAAGGUUUCCGUAGGUGAACCUGCGGAAGGAUCAUUAAUGAAUUGUUCGAAUUUCUAUGCGGACAAAUCUUUAAAUCCGUAUCCACACCGGCUGGGGGUCUAAUUUGAUUUAGACUCUCGGCCGUAGGGGGUGGUUUUUCUUGGGUCGACUUCUCUCGGCCCAGGAGGAAGCAUCCCUGUCUGACCUUUGCCUAAAAUUGAUCUUUUUGACUGAAACUUUUUGAUAAAAAUCAAAUCAAAAACAACUUUCAACAACGGAUCUCUUGGCUCUC